rnacentral:rRNA from 1 species
GGGUCAGUAGGUUGGUCGUGCCACCGGUACGUACUGGUCUCACUGAUUCCUCCUUCCUGAAGAACCGUAAUGCCAUUAAUUUGGUGUUGCGGGGAAACAGGACUGUUACUUUGAAAAAAUUAGAGUGUUUAAAGCAGGCUAACGCUUGAAUACAUUAGCAUGGAAUAAUGGAAUAGGACGAUCGAUCCUAUUUUGUUGGUUCCUAGGAUUGACGUA